rnacentral:SRP_RNA from 1 species
GUUUAUUAUUCUGAUUAUAAAGUAGUCUCAGCUACUCGGGGUGCUGAGGAGGGAGGAUCGCUUGAGCCCAGGAGUUCUGGGCUGUUGUGCACUAUGCCGAUGGGGUGUCUGCACUAACUUCAGCAUCAAUAUGGUGACCUCCUGGGAGCAGAGGACCACCAGGUUGCCUAAGGAGAGGUGAACUGGCCCAGGUUGGAAGUGGAGCAGGUCAAAACUCGCCUGCUGAUCAGUAGUGGGAUCACGCCUGUGAAUAGCCACUGCACUCCAGCCUGGGCAACAUAGGGAGACCCCAUCUCU